rnacentral:rRNA from 1 species
UACUACGGGAGGCAGCAGUGGGGAAUAUUGCACAAUGGGCGCAAGCCUGAUGCAGCCAUGCCGCGUGUAUGAAGAAGGCCUUCGGGUUGUAAAGUACUUUCAGCAGUGAGGAAGGUGGGUAUGUUAAUAGCAUACUCAUUUGACGUUAGCUGCAGAAGAAGCACCGGCUAACUCCGUGCCAGCAGCCGCGGUAAUACGGAGGGUGCGAGCGUUAAUCGGAAUUACUGGGCGUAAAGCGCAUGCAGGUGGAUGAUUAAGUCAGAUGUGAAAGCCCGGGGCUCAACCUCGGAAUAGCAUUUGAAACUGGUCAUCUAGAGUACUGUAGAGGGGGGUAGAAUUUCAGGUGUAGCGGUGAAAUGCGUAGAGAUCUGAAGGAAUACCGGUGGCGAAGGCGGCCCCCUGGACAGAUACUGACACUCAAAUGCCAAAGCGUGGGGAGCAAACAGGAUUAGAUACCCUGGUAGCCCACCCCGUAAACAAUGUCUACUUGGAGGUUGGGGCCUUGAACCGUGGCUUUCGGAGCUAACGCCU